ACUUACUACUAUAAACACUAUACAGCUUUCACUACACGUAUAUACACAGUCUGUCUAGACUCAACGUGUGUAAGUCAGCUGUUAUCUCGCGCUAUUACUGCAAGCCGCGUACAGAUAGCAGUACACAAUGCGCGCAAGUGUAGGUAUGUACCAGCCCGGUCAUACGCGCAAUAGACGUUUUUGGCGCUUUCGUUUUCGUAGCAGUCGUCCUGGUCGUCCAGUUGCGUCGCGUCGUUGUCUUGUGCGAAUCGUGUUGAGUCGUGCUCGUGUCUCGUGUCGAUCAGUCGGAUCAGAUGUGCAGCAAAGAUGCAGAGAUCAUCGCACGCUACAAGAAGAAGUAGAGGAUCGACUAAUAAUGCAUCGCCGAGAAACGACGCGGCC